rnacentral:rRNA from 1 species
UACGUAGAGGGCAAGCGUUGUCCGGAUUUAUUGGGCGUAAAGAGCGUGUAGGCGGCUAGAUAGGUCCGUUGUGAAAACUCGAGGCUCAACCUCGAGACGUCGAUGGAAACCAUCUAGCUAGAGUCCGGAAGAGGAGAGUGGAAUUCCUGGUGUAGCGGUGAAAUGCGCAGAUAUCAGGAAGAACACCCGUGGCGAAGGCGGCUCUCUGGUACGUGACUGACGCUGAGACGCGAAAGCGUGGGGAGCAAACAGG